rnacentral:rRNA from 1 species
GACGAACCGUACGAACGUUAUUCGGAAUUACUGGGCUUAAAGGGUGCGUAGGCUGCGCGGCAAGUUGGGUGUGAAAUCCCUCGGCUCAACCGAGGAACUGCGCUCAAAACUACCGUGCUCGAGGGAGACAGAGGUGGGCGGAACUUAGGGUGGAGCGGUGAAAUGCGUUGAUAUCCUAAGGAACACCCGUGGCGAAAGCGGCUCACUGGGUCUCUUCUGACGCUGAGGCACGAAAGCUAGGGUAGCGAACGGG